ensembl:lncRNA
CUCUUUUUUUUUGUUUUUUUAGAAAUCGUUAACAAAGCUGUGUUGGGUGUUACUUCUGCAGUGAGCGGCGACAGUGGACAGGAACUAGAGGAACUGCUCCGAGAGGCUAGCCUGGAGUCUGGAAGAGACGCACCAUGAACUGUCCAUGUGAAAACAGCUCUCAGAUGGAUCCUCAGCUACGUGACCACAGUGUUUUUGUCUUCUCUGUGACCGGACCACCAACAUCUUUUUCCUUAAACAACCGAAGACCAAGUGUUACAGCAGUCAACAGUUGUGUUCAUGAAGGUGAACGGACACAAUCAAACCUUAAGAGCUCACCUUUCGUCCCAAUAUGGAGUCUUUACAGCCACACUACAUCCUCUGCGUGAAAGGGCGGAGAGAAGCAGCCACCUUCGUAUCACUACAUCUUUCCAGCCUAAGAUCUCUGAUGGCGAACAGCCGCCUGUGUGAGAGGACCGAAGAGACGAGGGAGGCGGGAUGAAACACUAACCAAAGACGGAACAUACAAUCUCAGCGCCCCCACCCGCUCUCCUUUAGAUCCACUGCAGCUGAUUAGCUAGCAAUCAAAAAAUGUUCCUAUCUCAGAGCUAUAAAGGUGAGGACUACAAACAUCUGUGCUCCUGUCGACCAAACCUGCAGACUCAGAGGCUGAGUGUGUCGCCCUGAAAGGCUUUUCUAUCAAUAAAGCUGAGGUUGUUGAUGUCUGUUUUUAAUGUAAACCCUGUGUGUCUCCCACCCUCUCCUGGACUCUUUCUCUCCGCCCUGGAAAUAAAACUCUUAAGAGACCUUUGCCAAAGUGACCUCCUUCCUCUUUGAUUUCUCCUGCUCCGUUUCCUUCUGGCCCCUCAGGAAUCAGUGUACCCCCACUUUCUCACUUCUGACAAAAAGAAGUCAAAUUCCAAAAAGUAGAUUUGAGUUGAUCCUUUGCUGCUACAAAAAAAAAAAAGUCGGACCCGAACCAAUGUAUUUUGUUUAUUUUUUUCUUUCUUCGUCCCCAAACUAAAGCUGUUUUUGGUUUACGAACCGUUAAGGAAGAAACCGUCAGGGCUUUCUAAGCUUUCACCUGCUCUCCUCAUACUUCCUCUGGAGCGUUCAUUUUCUGCUUGUUGCCUUCAGUCCGCCUUUGCAGCCUCCUGCAUCUCCUCUUAGCUGCUUUGAGAAAAUCUAUUUUUUUGUAAACCUGCACAACCUUUCUUUUGAUUUUUCUUUGCUCCACCUCUUUUUUUGUAGGAGCUGCUUUUAAAGCUGCCCUCCCCUUUUGAUGUAUGUAUGUUUCAUUUUCAAAUUAGAGGAAAAAUUAUCUUUCUUUUUUUUUUUUAGGGUUGGGGGGUGUAUGGGGAGAGUAAUGGAAUUUUACUGACUGGGGUGCAGUCAUAAAAGCAAAUACUAAGAUGCUGUUUUGAAACUGCCAGAGGAGUUUGUGGCCACAAGGGGGCGUAUUAGGGCUGUUUUCCCUCCAUCUUGAAGAAGUCUAAAUAAUAACUGAAUUUUUUUUUUUCAAAGUUAGGCAAAAGAAUGUUACAUUAAAUUACUGCAAGUUUGUAAAUGGGAAAAAUCCCUCCCUCGCCACAAAAGUAUACAGCAUUUUCUCUGAAAUAAAGCAUUUUUCAUCCUCAUCUGCUCUUUACCCCCUCCCCUUCCAACAAAUAGUUUGCCCAGCUCUUUGUAAUGCUUUAAUUUUUAGAAAUUUUUAUUAAUGAUUUGUUAACUUUAUUGAAAUGUGCUGGUAAUCACAGAUAUGUAUGGCGGAAAUUGUUGCUCUCAAAUAAAUGCAUGUAAUAACUGAAAGAGAUGGCUCCGUGUUCAAUCACAGUGUGUGAGGAACUCGAGGUGGGAUCGGUUCGAAAGGAAAAAUGUCUUUGGAUCUAGUUUGGAUGAGAAUUAAUUACUUUUACUUUAGAAAUGUGUUAAUAUCAAACACAAAAACACAAAAAUUCCAAUUCUGCAGUAUGUCAAGCACACUGCCUUUAUAUGAUUCCCUAGGUCUGUGGCACAUCCUGCUUUAUGCGGAUGAUAUUGUUUAUAUGAACACAAGGGUUCAAAUGAAGUUUAUUUAUUUGUGAUAAGAAUAAGACUGGACCCCAACAGAGCUGGAAGACUAGACCUGAUUGAAGGAUUGAUUGGAGCAACUUUGUAGCCUUUUUCCUAACAAUUGCAGAAAUGUUUCUUACCUGACUGCAGAAGAUGUGACUCUGGAGCUUCUAGUGAAAGUUUUAAAUAUGAACUGGACCGCUGUGGACAGACCAGACAGCAUGUUCUUCCUAGAGGAAAACAAACAAACUAAAUGUUGUUUGAGCUUCUAACCAGAGAUGAACAGUUGGGAAUUUGUUCUGCGUUUUCCCUAAAAAAAAAAAAAAAAAACCUUUCUUUCCUGUAGUGGUUUCAGGCAAAGCAGAUGAUGCAAUAAAGGCAAUGAUUUUCAGUUUUGGUUAAUCUAUUUGGCCUGGAUGUUCAUGCAUUUUCUAAUAAGGAG